rnacentral:lncRNA from 1 species
CUCCGUGCCGGGAAUGAUGAUGUAGCGUUUUCGCCAUAGAAUGAUCCCAUGAAGCGCAUCUGCCAGUGUCCUUUCCCCGUCACCUCCCGGGAGGUCGACCUCUAGGCCUUCAUAUUGGCUAUCAAUAAUUUGAUCUACACGGACGUUGGCGUAGCCAGGUGGAAUCUCCAUGCCAUGACUGCUCUCGCCCGCCAGGGUUGCUAACACACUCCCGUACGCUACC